GAUGAACGCUGGCGGCGUGCCUAAUACAUGCAAGUCGAGCGAACGGACGAGAAGCUUGCUUCUCUGAUGUUAGCGGCGGACGGGUGAGUAACACGUGGAUAACCUACCUAUAAGACUGGGAUAACUUCGGGAAACCGGAGCUAAUACCGGAUGAUAUUUUGACCCGCUUGGUUCAAAGUUAAAAGACGGUCUUCCUGUACCUUAUGAUUGGUUCCGCGCGGCAUUAGCUAGUUGGUAAGUUACCGGCUUACCAAGGCAACGAUGCAUAGCCGACCUGAGAGGGUGAUCGGCCACACUGGAACUGAGACACGGUCCAGACUCCUACGGGAGGCAGCAGUAGGGAAUCUUCCGCAAUGGGCGAAAGCCUGACGGAGCAACGCCGCGUGAGUGAUGAAGGUCUUCGGAUCGUAAAACUCUGUUAUUAGGGAAGAACAUAUGUGUAAGUAACUGUGCACAUCUUGACGGUACCUAAUCAGAAAGCCACGGCUAACUACGUG
rnacentral:rRNA from 1 species